rnacentral:rRNA from 1 species
UGGACAAGAAUAAUCUCGGGAAACUGGGCAUAAUUCUUGAUAGAUCAUAAUGCCUGGAAUGGUUUAUGGUUAAAAUGAUUCGUCGCCAUAGGAUGGGACUGCGGCCUAUCAGCUUGUUGGUGAGGUAAUGGCCCACCAAGGCGAUUACAGGUACGGGCUUUGAGAGGAGAAGCCCGGAGAUGGGUACUGAGACACGGACCCAGGCCCUAUGGGGCGCAGCAGGCGAGAAAACUUUGCAAUGUGCGAAAGCACGACAAGGUUAAUCCGAGUGAUUUUUGCUAAAGAAAUCUUUUGCCAGUCAUAAAACCACUGGUGAAUAAGGGGUGGGCAAGUUCUGGUGUCAGCCGCCGCGGUAAAACCAGCACCUCAAGUGGUCAAGAUGAUUAUUGGGCCUAAAGCAUCCAUAGCCGGCUUUGUAAGUUUUCGGUUAAAUCCAUGUGCUCAACGCAUGGGCUGCCGAAAAUACUGCAUGGCUAGGGAGUGGGAGAGGUAGACGGUAC